AUGGAUCUUCAUUCAGUUAUUCUGUUCUGUGCUUUAGCAGCUGUUGUCUUUGGAAAUACUAUCAGUCCAGAUACGACAGACGUUAGAGCUGAUGAGGGUCGAAAAGCUACACUGUCCUGCAGUUAUUCCUCCUCUGGGGGGGUAGAUAAUCUCUUCUGGUACCGUCAGUAUGGACGAUCAAAACCUGAGUUUCUUGUUGCCACAUACAGCACUUCAAAGAAGAAAGAGAUAUCUGGCGUAGAUUCAAGAUUUUCUGUUAAUGUUGCAAAAAAGGAAAAAAUCCAUGUGAUUCUGGAGAUCUCCUCUGCUGCUGUAUCAGACUCUGCUCUGUAUUACUGUGCUCUGAGGCCCACAGUCACAGGAAACACAUCAACACUGUACAAAAACCUUCUCUUGUUUAAUCCAGUUAGAAAAAGCAAUAUAUACUGA